ACGGGAAAGAUUUAUCGCCAAAGGAAUGGCCCGCGUCCGAUUAGCUAGUUGGUGAGGUAAUGGCUCACCAAGGCAACCGAUCGGUAGCUGGUUUGAGAGAACGACCAGCCACACUGGGACUGAGACACGGCCAGACUCCUACGGGA
rnacentral:rRNA from 1 species